UGUGGUUUGCCCGGAAGUUAUCUGUAUUUUGAUGCUAAUUCCACUGCCCCAAGGACAGCUGCCUAGUUACAUACUCAGGAAUCAGGUGACUUCAUCAGAACCUUCUCCCCAUUGAAUUUGUAAAAUACAGGUGAGGGGCAGGUACAGGAUAGAAGGAGGCCUGUCAUUGGAGGAGAAGGAAGGAUGGGCAGGAGAGAAGUUUGAAGGAAGAGGAGGAGAUGAGAAGAGAAAGGAAAGAGACAGGAGAGGAGAGCGUGAGAAGCCAUGGCAGGAAUGCCCAUAUCAGCCCGUUCACUAUGUCAGGCUGGUCUUGCUGAAGCCAGUGGCUACCUUCUGACAGAAUGAAGCAGCGUCGGUGUUGUCACCAUGUGAUGCUUGAGAGGCAGGCAGCUAUAAAACCAGAACACAUUGGCUUGAGAACCGCUGGGAAGCUGAGUAACCGGUCAAGUACCAUGAGCAAGGACAUCUCGUUCCUGGUCAAUCCAAACAGCCAGUAUCAUCUCAAAGACCCCACCACCACCCUGCUGACCGUCAUAUACAGCCAGCUUCCUUUUCUGUCAAUUUUCUUCUCUUGCUCACUCCCAUCCCCCACCCCAGAGAUAGCCGUGGCAGUCUCCCAAUAGAUUACUGAUCCCCAAUAAAACCUUUCUUUCUACCCAUGGA